AUUAAAUAUUGCGCGUGCUCAGUUCUGUUCAGCGGCUGCAGGCUGCUAAGCGGCUCCGGGAGCUGAUUUGGAUAGAGGCUGUUGAGCAGGGCUGAAGUUGGCUAAUGCCGUGUGCUGUUGGCUUUCAACAAUUCCGAUAGAGAAACUGAAGCACAGAGAGGUUAUGCAGCUUUCCCAGGUUCAUGUAGCUGGUAAGAACAGAGUCCAUGUUCUUAUCACUCAAGAUGUUCUGUUGGGGACGGCAUGCCAUGGUCUUAAGGAUCGCCCCCUUCUCAGAUGAUCUGCUGCUCACCUCAGAUACCUACAGAGACUCUGCUGGUGCCUGUCAAAGGUGCUGUCACCUCCCACUCCCACAAAAAGUGCCGCUGCUCUCUCUCAUCUGCUGAAGGUAGCACUGCUGGAAGUCUUGUAUGGAAGUGGAAGAUCUGAUGUCUUUGCUGAAUGUAUUAGCACCUCUGGUUGGCAAGGUUGCUAGUGUUCCACUCUGCUGAUGCAGGCACUGGUGGUGGCAUUGAUGUGAUAAAGACUUCAAAGCACCAAUAGGUUCUCUACUGAAGUGGAAAGGAUCUUUUUAUGUCUUUUGUCUUAUAUUUCUACCUGGGCUCCAAAGUCAUGCUUCCUGGUGUUGCCAGUGAGCAGGGAGAAUUUAGUGAAGAAGCUUUUUGCAGAGAUGACUAGCUGUCUGCUAAAAUUCCAUUAUGUAGAAUAAGUGCCAAGAAGUAGCCACACACACAUUAAAAAAAAAUUCUGAGCCCCUGUACCCCACCUUUGCAUUUAGUGGAGUCAUAGGACUAGCUCACACCCAUGUGAACAGAGCUGAUGUGUCUCAUUUCUGGGCCAAGGAGUUUAAGAAGUGGGGUUUGUCUCCUUUACAUUCUCUUUUUCCUCUUCUGCCAGCUCUAAUACCUCAAGGAAUGUCAGAAUAUGGGACAGAAGGAGCCAGGACAUCCACCUUGCACUGUUCUGGGAGGAAGAAAUACAUUUUCUGGCCUGCGCAGGGUGGCUCACGCCUGUAAUCCCAGGACUUUGGGAGGCUGAGGUGGGCAGAUUGCCUGAGCUCAGGAGUUUGUGACCAGCCUUGGCAACACAAGGAAACCCCAUCUCUACUAAAAUACAAAAAAUUAGCCAAGUGUGGCAGCGCGAGCCUGUAAUCCCAGCUACUUGGGAGGCUGAGGCAGGAGAAUUGCUUGAACCCAGGAGGCAGAGGUUGCAGUGAGCUGAGAUCAUGCCACUGCACUUCAGCCUGGGCGACAGAGUAAGAAUCUGUCUCAAAAAAAAAAAAAGAAGAAAUACAUUUUCUGUAUACUUAAAAAUAAUUAAAAUGAGGAGAUCGAGACCAUCCCGGCUAAAACGGUGAAACCCCGUCUCUACUAAAAAUACAAAAAAUUAGCCGG
rnacentral:lncRNA from 10 species